UUUUUUGCCCUGUCUUUCCUCCAGGUUUUCACUUGUGUUCAGUCAAUGGGAGGCACUGGUAGAGAUUGAAGGGCAGGAGAAAGAACACUGAGUACUUACUUACCACCACUUCCUUUGGGGUACUAUUUGAAAAUAGCUGCACUCCUUUACGGUGAGAUCUCCAGGUCCCUAAAGUACUGUGGGAGCAGGAAUAGGGCACAAACAUAAACUGGAAAAUUACAAGAGAACAUGGUGAUUUUUUUCCUUAGAAGGUGGGACAUUGAAUUAUUUGUAAGAAAUGACAGAAGAGGAUUUACAAAUGACUUUCAAGAUGAAUCCACAGUAAUAACUACAGUACUAAUAGCCACUAUUUAUUGCUCACCACUACUGUUUGUGAUGUUCUGUACACAUUGUUUCUGAUCCUUACAACUGCCAAGUUGGGUAGAUUUCAUCAGGUCCAUCAUAAAAAUGGAAACAUGGGGGUUUGCAGGCCUCAAAUAACUUACCAUAGGUCACACAAACAAUGUGACCUGACCUUAUGUUCAUGCAUUUUUCA